rnacentral:rRNA from 1 species
GACGAACGCUGGCGGCGUGCUUAACACAUGCAAGUCGAACGGAAAGGCCCUGCUUUUGUGGGUUGCUCGAGUGGCGAACGGGUGAGUAACACGUGAGUAACCUGCCCUUGACUUUGGGAUAACUUCAGGAAACUGGGGCUAAUACCGGAUAGGAGCUCCUGCUGCAUGGUGGGGGUUGGAAAGUUUCGGCGGUUGGGGAUGGACUCGCGGCUUAUCAGCUUGUUGGUGGGGUAGUGGCUUACCAAGGCUUUGACGGGUAGCCGGCCUGAGAGGGUGACCGGCCACAUGGGGACUAAGAGACGGCCCAGACUCCUACGGGAGGCAGAAGUGGGGAAUAUUGCACAAUGGGCGGAAGCCUGAUGCAGCAACGCCGCGUGCGGGAUGACGGCCUUCGGGUUGUAAACCGCUUUCGCCUGUGACGAAGCGUGAGUGACGGUAAUGGGUAAAGAAGCACCGGCUAACUACGUG